UGACUGUAGGUGAAAGCUUACAUCUCUUCGGAGCAUUUUACGAGGUGCUGCAUGGUUGUCGUCAGCUCGUGCCGUGAGGUGUCGGGUUAAGUCCCAUAACGAGCGCAACCCCUACCUUUAGUUGCCAUCAGGUUAAGCUGGGGACUCUAAAGGAACUGCCUACGCAAGUAGUGAGGAAGGCGGGGAUGACGUCAAAUCAGCACGGCCCUUACGUCCAGGGCUACACACGUGCUACAAUGGCCGAUACAGAGGGCAGCUACCUGGUGACAGGAUGCAAAUCUCCAAAGUCGGUCUCAGUUCGGAUCGGAGUCUGCAACCUGACUCCGUGAAGUUGGAUUCGCUAGUAAUCGCGCAUCAGCCAUGGCGCGGUGAAUACGUUCCCGGGCCUU
rnacentral:rRNA from 1 species